GCGGUUGUGAUGUAGUUGGUAGCAUCAAAGUUCGCCAAACUUUGUGUGUGGGUUCAAGUCCUACCAUCCGAUU
rnacentral:tRNA from 1 species